rnacentral:tRNA from 1 species
GGAGAGGUGACCGAGCGGUUUAAGGUGUUGGUCUUGAAAACCAAUAGGCGCGUCAGCGUCUCGUGGGUUCGAAUCCCACCCUCUCCGCCA